AUUGAACGCUGGCGGCAGGCCUAACACAUGCAAGUCGAACGAGUGGCGGACGGGUGAGUAAUGUCUGGGAAACUGCUUGAUGGAGGGGGAUAACUACUGGAAACGGUAGCUAAUACCGCAUACCAUCAGAUGUGCCCAGAUGGGAUUAGCUAGUUGGUGGGGUAACGGCUCCACAAGGCGACGAUCCCUAGCUGGUCUUAGAGGAUGACCAGCCACACUGGAACUGAGACACGGUCCAGAUUCCUACGGGAGGCAGCAGUGGGGAAUAUUACACAAUGGGCGAAAGCCUGAUACAGACAUGCCGCGUGAGUGAAGAAGGCCUUCGGGUUGUAAAAUACUUUCGGCGGGGAGGCGUUACCCGCAGAGAAAGCACCGGCUAACUCCGUGCCAGCAGCCGCGGUAAUUC
rnacentral:rRNA from 1 species